rnacentral:rRNA from 1 species
UAGUAUUCAAUUGUCAGAGGUGAAAUUCUUGGAUGUAUUGAAGACUAACUACUGCGAAAGCAUUUGCCAAGGAUGUUUUCAUUAAUCAAGAACGAAAGUUAGGGGAUCGAAGACGAUCAGAUACCGUCGUAGUCUUAACCAUAAACUAUGCCGACUAGGGAUCGGAUGAUGUUAAUUUUUUAAUGACUCA